UGAAGCUCACAGUCUGCUCAGGUGUGGCCCUGGCCGUGGGGCCCGACACCACGGGGGGAGAAGGUUUGGCUACAAGAGGAGCAUUUACGAGUAAGCAUGACUGUGGUCAUCCUCACCAACGACAGUUUGCAAGAAAACACAUCACCCCUGGAGAAGUGGCACUUAUGCGUCUGACAGAGCUAGACAAAUAGAUUCAGUCAUAUGCUUGGUUCAAAUGUGGAUAGAAUCUCUGCACGCGGCAGGUGACAACCACCAAGUCCAAGGAGGGUGAAGACUGGGACACUGUCACUGUAGGGGGAACUGACACAGCCCAGAGAAAGCAGACAAUCACUAGAGGAAGGCCACUGUGGGAGCCUGGAAAUUCCUGGAGAUGGGUCAUCUGCCCAGGGUCUGCCCCAGAGGAGGAUUCAGUCUCCACAGACGUUCUCAUGGCCCCUGCUCCGGAAUAGGUGUGAAGACCCAGCUCUGGGGGCAUCGAGGUCUUUGAGGAGGAACAGCAGGAACUGUGGGCAGUGAAUCCAUUGCUUCCUGUGGCCAUAGAUGGCAGAGACAGAGACGAGCAGCAGCAGCUUGGGGCCCAGGAAGAGAGCCACCAGGAGUGGAGUGGACAGUUCUCGAUCUGGAAAUGAAGGGACAGGAG